UGGGGAAUAUUGGACAAUGGGGGAAACCCUGAUCCAGCAAUGCCGCGUGAGUGAAGAAGGCCUUCGGGUUGUAAAGCUCUUUUGUCAGGGAAGAUAAUGACGGUACCUGACGAAUAAGCUCCGGCUAACUUCGUGCCAGCAGCCGCGGUAAUACGAAGGGAGCUAGCGUUGUUCGGAAUUACUGGGCGUAAAGGGCGCGUAGGCGGCCGCGUAAGUCAGAUGUGAAAUCCCCGGGCUUAACCUGGGAACUGCAUUUGAUACUGCGUGGCUAGAGGAUGAGAGAGGAAAGUGGAAUUACGAGUGUAGAGGUGAAAUUCGUAGAUAUUCGUAAGAACACCAGUGGCGAAGGCGGCUUUCUGGCUCAUUACUGACGCUAAGGCGCGAAAGCGUGGGGAGCAAACAGGAUUAGAUACCCGUGUAGUCC
rnacentral:rRNA from 1 species